CCUACGGGAGGCAGCAGUGAGGAAUAUUGGUCAAUGGACGAGAGUCUGAACCAGCCAAGUAGCGUGAAGGAUGACUGCCCUAUGGGUUGUAAACUUCUUUUAUAUGGGAAUAAAACGUUCCACGUGUGGGAUUUUGUAUGUACCAUAUGAAUAAGGAUCGGCUAACUCCGUGCCAGCAGCCGCGGUAAUACUGAGGAUCCGAGCGUUAUCCGGAUUUAUUGGGUUUAAAGGGAGCGUAGGUGGAUUGUUAAGUCAGUUGUGAAAGUUUGCGGCUCAACCGUAAAAUUGCAGUUGAAACUGGCAGUCUUGAGUACAGUAGAGGUGGGCGGAAUUCGUGGUGUAGCGGUGAAAUGCUUAGAUAUCACGAAGAACUCCGAUUGCGAAGGCAGUUCACUGGACUGCAACUGACACUGAGGCUCGAAAGUGUGGGUAUCAAACAGGAUUAGAUACCCUUGUAGUC
rnacentral:rRNA from 1 species